AUGGCCGCCCGCCUCAAGGACCGCGGCGGCGGCGGCAGCGGCGUGAAGGCAGCCUCCACCGCCGCCCCGCGCGCGCUCACGCCCAGGCCGUUCCCCCUCUCCUCCUCCUCCUCCGCCUCCGCCUCGCGCCGCACCCCCGGCACCGCCGCCGCCGCUGCCGCCGCCGCCGGGGGCAAGGAGAACUCGGCGUCGAAGCUCUCCAAACAGCAGCCCACCUCCGCGGUGCGGUGGUCCACCUCCUCGAUCCCGCGGGCCAGCAGGGUCCCGGGGGCCUCCGUCGAGCCCUCCUCCAAGCUCGUCUCCACGCUCCGCGCCUCCGCCGCGCUGCCGGCGGGGAGGGCCUCCCUCGGGAAGGACGCGGAGCCUGGCCUGCGGCGGAGCGUCAGCGGCGGGAUCAGGUCCGUCUCCACCGAGAGGGGGCGGAGGUCGGUGAGCGCGGCCGCCAGGCCCUCAGAUGCCGCCAGGGGAGGGAGCGGCGGCGCUGCCCCCCGGGCUUCAGAUGCUGCCGCUCAUGAGAUCGGCUCGAGGAGCCUAGGGUUUGAUUCGAGGGGGCGGAGGGCGAAGGCGGCUGAAGAGAUCAGCAGGAAAAGAGAGGUCUUGGAUGCCAAGGCUAAGCAGGCAGAUAGUGUUGGCAGGAGCAGAGAGAGCCUUGAUGCAAAGGCGAAGCAGAUCAGUGGGAAAAAAGUGGGCUUGGAUGUGCGUGCGGUGAAGCAAUGUGAUGUGUUCAGAGAGAGCAGCGGAGCAUUUGACUCCAAUGUGAAGAAGCAGAGUGAUGAGGGAAAUGGGAAAAGAGUGGGCAUCUUGGAUGCGAGGGCAAGGCUAGGUGAUGAAAUUUGUAGGAAGCAAGAAGAGGGGCAUGACCUGACACUGGUGAAGGAGAUCAGUUCCAAGAAUGUUGUUGCUGGUCUUACUGGCUCAGGGGAGGUUUCUGCCAAAGCCUUUUCCGCUACCCAGAGCGAUUGUGAUGGAGGUAACAGCUCUGUUAUCCCUGUGUUUACCGUGCACGUGGUCGACUCGGAUGAUGUUUGUUCGGGAGUGAGAGAGCAUCAGAAGAAGCCCGAGGAGUUUAAUAAGCAGGGAGAGAAGGGGAAAUUGGCUGACAAGAUUAGAGUUUUUGAGAAAGCAGCAACAAGCGGCGAGGGAAAAUCGGUGAAAACUUUGUGCAGUGUGAACAAGUACCCAAGCAAGCUGCAUGAGAAGCUGGCUGCGCUGGAAGGGAGGGUUCAGAAGAUUGCCACCGAUAUCAAGAAGACCAAGGAGAUGCUGGACGACAACAACCCAGACGAGCCAAAGCAGAUAUUGUCAAAUAUCCAGAAAGAGAUUAAUGCAAUUGAGCAGGCGAUUUCUCAUGUCAAAGUUGAUAACAAGAGUCAGUUAGGUACUGAAGAUAACAGUGACUGUGAGAUCUCUCAUGCUAAGAAGGGUGCGAGUGAGAAAUCUGCUGUCGUGAAGCCACGUGACAUGAAGGAUGCUGGAAAAGGAAUGAAUACUGAUGAACUGGAGGCAAGGUUUUUCCCACAUCAUAAACUAUUGAGGGAUCGUAGGACGUCUAGUGCUACUCAACAGGAGUCGUGCGUGGCUCUGAUAAAAGGCUGUAAUGGAAAAAUGGAACCUGGUACCCUCGAGCCCCGUGAUGACGAGAACAGUAUAGCAAUGGAAUUUCUGGCUUCUUUAGAUGGCGAAGAGAGUGACUUCUUCAAGGAUCGCAGAGCUAAGAACUUGGAAAAGCACAUGAUUUGUGAAGCAGCAGAUGCUAGUGGCAAGACGUCUAGCCAAGGUAGCUCAAAGAUUCCAGAUGGUUCAACUAAUGAAGUGGAAAUGGAAUUGUGUGGUGAGAACCUAGAAGAGUUUGAUGAGCAGGAAAACAAGUCAACGAUGGUGAUACAGGAGGAAACCGAGGAGUCUUCCAUUGAUCAAUUAUCAGGGAUAGGUAAUAAGUCUGCAACAGGUGGAUGGUUUGUUUCAGAGGGGGAAGCCGUCCUUCUUGCUCAUGGAGAUGGCACCUGCUCUUAUUAUGAUAUUGCAAACCAUGAGUUCAAGUCUGAAUAUAAGCCUCCCAGUGUGGUGUCACAUAAUACUUGGGGUGAUUGCUGGUUGAUUCGUGCCCCAGGUGUAGAUGGAUGCUCUGGUAGAUAUGUGGUUGCAGCAUCUGCUGGUAAUGCACUGGAACCUGGGUUUUGCAGCUGGGAUUACUACAACAGAGAAGUACAAGCAUUUCAUGUUGAUGAGGAGGCAUCUCUUGCUCCUGUACCAUCAGCCAGGACAGUUCUUGGGCCUCUUCCUAAUAUAGGUUCAUCAAGAUCUAGUUCUGCUAUUUCAACCAUAGAACGGCCGCAAUGGUGGUACAGACCAUGCGGACCUCUCCUCCUUUCUACUGCUAGCAAGCAGAAGAUGGUCACGGCUUAUGACAUCCGCGAUGGCGAUGUUGUGAUGAAAUGGGAAGUAAGCAGUCCAGUACUCGGAAUGGAGUACUCCAGCCCGCUGCAAUGGCGUAGCAGGGGGAAGGUCGUUAUUGCUGGGACUGAAUCAAUUGGGUUGUGGGAUGUGAAUUCGCUUAACCCGCAACCCCUAUUAUCUGUUGCUUCUGCUGGUAAAAGAGUUUACUGCCUUCAUGUUAACAACACGGAUGCUGAGGUGGGUGGAGGAGUUCGUCAAAGAGUUAGUUCAUCCGAGGUGGAGGGAAAUGAUGGUGUUUUCACUACGCAAGAAAGUGUUAAUGUAUUUGACUUCCGUGUACCUUCUGGCAUCGGUCUUAAAAUGGCAAGAAACGGUGGAACGGCGAACUCAGUCUUCUCACGCGGAGACUCAGUAUUUAUUGGUAGCACAGAAGGCAGGUUGCAAAUAAAAGGAGGGCCGAAAUCACGAGUUCAGCAGUAUUCACUGAAAAAGGGGAGGCUUGUUGCAACCUAUGAAUUACCGGAGUUCAAUGCUCACUUCCAUCACUCUUCGAUAACCCAAGUGUGGGGCAAUUCCAAUGUUGUCUUGGCUUCAUGCGGUAUGGGCUUGUUCGCUUUUGACACCUUCAAUGAAGAAGGCGUCCAACAAACUUACAGCUUUGACCGUGGAAACACCAUUGGAGCAAGAGAGGUUAUUGGCUCUGAUGAUUUGUACUGCCCUACAUUUGAUUACUCAUCAUCGAGGGUUCUUCUGGUCUCGAAAGACCGUCCAGCCCAUUGGAGGUACUUGCCAUAG
rnacentral:rRNA from 1 species